UACGAAGGGUGCUAGCGUUGUUCGGAAUCACUGGGCGUAAAGGGUGCGUAGGCGGCUAUACAAGUCAGAGGUGAAAGCCUGGAGCUUAACUCCAGAACUGCCUUUGAAACUGUAUGGCUAGAGUGUCGGAGGGGAUAGCGGAAUUUCUAAUGUAGCGGUGAAAUGCGUAGAUAUUAGAAGGAACACCGGUGGCGAAGGCGGCUAUCUGGACGACAACUGACGCUGAGGCACGAAAGCGUGGGGAUCAAACAGG
rnacentral:rRNA from 1 species